UACGAAGGGGGCUAGCGUUGCUCGGAAUCACUGGGCGUAAAGCGCACGUAGGCGGCUUCUUAAGUCAGGGGUGAAAUCCUGGAGCUCAACUCCAGAACUGCCUUUGAUACUGAGAGCUUGAGUCCGGGAGAGGUGAGUGGAACUGCGAGUGUAGAGGUGAAAUUCGUAGAUAUUCGCAAGAACACCAGUGGCGAAGGCGGCUCACUGGCCCGGUACUGACGCUGAGGUGCGAAAGCGUGGGGAGCAAAGCAGG
rnacentral:rRNA from 1 species